rnacentral:rRNA from 2 species
AAAUUGAAGAGUUUGAUCAUGGCUCAGAUUGAACGCUGGCGGCAGGCCUAACACAUGCAAGUCGAGCGGCAGCGGAAAGUAGCUUGCUACUUUGCCGGCGAGCGGCGGACGGGUGAGUAAUGUCUGGGAAACUGCCUGAUGGAGGGGGAUAACUACUGGAAACGGUAGCUAAUACCGCAUAACGUCGCAAGACCAAAGAGGGGGACCUUCGGGCCUCUUGCCAUCAGAUGUGCCCAGAUGGGAUUAGCUAGUAGGUGGGGUAACGGCUCACCUAGGCGACGAUCCCUAGCUGGUCUGAGAGGAUGACCAGCCACACUGGAACUGAGACACGGUCCAGACUCCUACGGGAGGCAGCAGUGGGGAAUAUUGCACAAUGGGCGCAAGCCUGAUGCAGCCAUGCCGCGUGUAUGAAGAAGGCCUUCGGGUUGUAAAGUACUUUCAGCGGGGAGGAAGGCGAUAAGGUUAAUAACCUUGUCGAUUGACGUUACCCGCAGAAGAAGCACCGGCUAACUCCGUGCCAGCAGCCGCGGUAAUACGGAGGGUGCAAGCGUUAAUCGGAAUUACUGGGCGUAAAGCGCACGCAGGCGGUCUGUCAAGUCGGAUGUGAAAUCCCCGGGCUCAACCUGGGAACUGCAUUCGAAACUGGCAGGCUAGAGUCUUGUAGAGGGGGGUAGAAUUCCAGGUGUAGCGGUGAAAUGCGUAGAGAUCUGGAGGAAUACCGGUGGCGAAGGCGGCCCCCUGGACAAAGACUGACGCUCAGGUGCGAAAGCGUGGGGAGCAAACAGGAUUAGAUACCCUGGUAGUCCACGCCGUAAACGAUGUCGACUUGGAGGUUGUGCCCUUGAGGCGUGGCUUCCGGAGCUAACGCGUUAAGUCGACCGCCUGGGGAGUACGGCCGCAAGGUUAAAACUCAAAUGAAUUGACGGGGGCCCGCACAAGCGGUGGAGCAUGUGGUUUAAUUCGAUGCAACGCGAAGAACCUUACCUACUCUUGACAUCCAGAGAACUUUCCAGAGAUGGAUUGGUGCCUUCGGGAACUCUGAGACAGGUGCUGCAUGGCUGUCGUCAGCUCGUGUUGUGAAAUGUUGGGUUAAGUCCCGCAACGAGCGCAACCCUUAUCCUUUGUUGCCAGCGGU